UUGUUUUAGGUUGACACUAGAUUUGUUGCCUUCCUCACCACAUCUACAACAUUUUAGUUGUUCAUUUAAACCAUAAGAGUUUUUUGAUGGUUUACUUCAUCCAAUGCUUCUUGUGUCAUUAGACUAUGUUAAUUCAUUUGUUGAGACACAUUUGGUCAUCUAUGUAUAUGUCACAAUAAGCUAAUUUACAUUUUCUUGACAAAAAUAUGAUGUAUGACUAGAAUUUAAGAUCUACUUUCUUCCUUCUUGAUUGGAGAUUCUAUCCAUUUUGAUGCCACAAUCAUAUCAUUUAGUUUGUAAAGGCAUUGUAGGGUCUGCUUUCUACAAUAACCGCUUUGUGACCUCUCUUGAAUCAAUAAAUCAUGUAAGAUAUAUUAUGUCAAAUCUAUUUGAGAAUGCAAUCCAUAAAAUAGUUCUACAUAUUCUACCACACUUUUUUCACCUUUUUUUAAUUUUGAUAAUGUUCAUAUAAAAUCUACAUAUUGUUAAGAAGAAGAAAUUAUGAUUUUAAUCUUUUCUUCAUUUAAACUAGGUACAAGCGGC
rnacentral:lncRNA from 1 species